GAUGAACGCUGGCGGCGUGCCUAAUACAUGCAAGUCGAGCGAACGGACGAGAAGCUUGCUUUUCUGAUGUUAGCGGCGGACGGGUGAGUAACACGUGGAUAACCUACCUAUAAGACUGGGAUAACUUCGGGACACCGGAGCUAAUACCGGAUAAUAUUUUGCACCGCAUGGUUCAAAAGUGAAAGACGGUCUUGCUGUCACUUAUAGAUGGAUCCGGGCUGCAUUGGCUAGUUGGUAAGGUAACGGCUUACCAAGGCAACGAUGCAUAGCCGACCUGAGGGGGUGGUCGGCCACACGGGAACGGAGACGCGGUCCAGACGCCUACGGGAGGCAGCAGUAGGGAAUCUGCCGCAAUGGGCGAGAGCCUGACGGAGCAACGCCGCGUGAGUGAUGAAGGUCUUCGGAUCGUAAAACUCUGUUAUUAGGGAAGAACAUAUGUGUAAGGAACUGUGCACAUCGUGACGGUACCUAAUCAGAAAGCCACGGCUAACUACGUG
rnacentral:rRNA from 1 species